rnacentral:rRNA from 1 species
AGUGAACGCUGGCGGUAGACCUAACACAUGCAAGUCGAACGGCAGCACAGUAAGAGCUUGCUCUUACGGGUGGCGAGUGGCGGACGGGUGAGGAAUACAUCGGAAUCUACUUUUUCGUGGGGGAUAACGUAGGGAAACUUACGCUAAUACCGCAUACGACCUACGGGUGAAAGCAGGGGAUCUUCGGACCUUGCGCGAUUGAAUGAGCCGAUGUCGGAUUAGCUAGUUGGCGGGGUAAAGGCCCACCAAGGCGACGAUCCGUAGCUGGUCUGAGAGGGUGAUCAGCCACACUGGAACUGAGACACGGUCCAGACUCCUACGGGAGGCAGCAGUGGGGAAUAUUGGACAAUGGGCGCAAGCCUGAUCCAGCCAUACCGCGUGGGUGAAGAAGGCCUUCGGGUUGUAAAGCCCUUUUGUUGGGAAAGAAAAGCAGCAGGUUAAUACCCCGCUGUUCUGACGGUACCCAAAGAAUAAGCACCGGCUAACUUCGUG